CAAUAGCGUAUAUUUAAGUUGUUGCAGUUAAAAAGCUCGUAGUUGGAUUUCGGAUGGGACUUGCCGGUCCGUCGUUUCGAUGUGCACUGGCCAGUCCUAUCUUGUUGUCGGGGACUAGCUCCUGGGCUUCACUGUCCGGGACUAGGAGCUGACGAGGUUACUUUGAGUAAAUUAGAGUGUUCAAAGCAAGCCUACGCUCUGAAUACAUUAGCAUGGAAUAACACGAUAGGACUCUGGCUUAUCUUGUUGGUCUGUGAGACCAGAGUAAUGAUUAAGAGGGACAGUCGGGGGCAUUCGUAUUUCAUUGUCAGAGGUGAAAUUCUUGGAUUUAUGAAAGACGAACUUCUGCGAAAGCAUUUGUCAAGGAUGUCUUCAUUAA
rnacentral:rRNA from 1 species